CGGGUUGUAAAGUACUUUCAGCAGUGAGGAAGGUGGGUGUCGUUAAUAGCGGCAUCAUUUGACGUUAGCUGCAGAAGAAGCACCGGCUAACUCCGUGCCAGCAGCCGCGGUAAUACGGGAGGGUGCGAGCGUUAAUCGGAAUUACUGGGACGUAAAGCGCAUGCAGGUGGUUUAGUUAAGUCAGAUGUAGAAACGGCCCGGGGCUACAACCUACGGAAUUGCUAUUUAGAAACUGGCAGACUAGAGUACUGUAGAGGGGGUAGAAUUUCAGGUGUAGCGGUGAAAAUGCGUAGAGAUCUGAAGGAAUACCGGUGGCGAAGGCGGCCCCCUGGACAGAUACUGACACUCAGAUGCGAAAGCGUGGGGAGCAAACAGGAUUAGAUACCCUGGUAG
rnacentral:rRNA from 1 species